GCGGCCCCGGCGCGGCCCGGGGAAAACCCGAGAGAGGGCGGAGAGCCCAGGAGACGGGGGAGAGCCUGACAACCGGGGAAAAUCCCGAGUAGAGUGGAGAGGACCUGGGAAAUCGGGGAAAACACCCCUAAAAACAACGACCCAACAUGGAAUUAAGAGACCUAAGGAAUGUCUAAAGAAUGAGGAUGUGGAAUGUUGGACGGAAAAAGCAGAAUUCCCACUACUGCCUGGAGGACGGAAGCCCCAGCUCUGCCUGCAGACCAGUGGACACAGCUGCGUCAUCCUCCUCCGUGCCACUACUGGGAGCAGCGGCGGCGUGGGUGACCUUUUGUUUCUCCCCAGCCUGAGCUGAAUCUUUUCAAUAAAGGCAUUAAAAAGGA